UACGGGGGGGAGCAAGCGUUGUUCGGAUUUACUGGGCGUAAAGGGCGCGUAGGCGGCCACCGCAAGUCGACUGUGAAAUCUCCGGGCUUAACUCGGAAAGGUCAGCCGAUACUGCGGGGCUAGAGUGCAGAAGGGGCAACUGGAAUUCUCGGUGUAGCGGUGAAAUGCGUAGAUAGUCGAGAGGAACACCUGCGGCGAAGGCGGGUUGCUGGGCUGAUACUGACGCUGAGGCGCGAAAGCCAGGGGAGCGAACGGG
rnacentral:rRNA from 1 species